rnacentral:rRNA from 1 species
GGACUACUGGGGUAUCUAAUCCUGUUCGCUCCCCACGCUUUCGUGCCUCAGUGUCAGUAACAGUCCAGAAAGUCGCCUUCGCUACUGGUGUUCCUCCGAAUCUCUACGCAUUUCACCGCUACACUCGGAAUUCCACUUUCCUCUCCUGCACUCUAGCUACGCAGUUUCAGAUGCAUGCUUGAGGUUGAGCCCCAAGGUUUCACAUCUGACUUACAUUGCCACCUACGCACCCUUUACACCCAGUAAAUCCGGAUAACGCUUGCCCCCUACGUAUUACCGCGGCUGCUGGCAC